CAGUAUAAAAACCCAGACUUCGCAUAUGCACACUGACACCACUCAGAGACACUGAACACUGAGCUGAAGCAGAACAGACACAUUUGUGCAGGACAUGUGCCACGUGCCUCCCCCCAGCCCUCUGUGUGUGCUCAUGGCCUUGGCCUUCUCUGGAUCCACUGUGGCCCAGAAAGUGACUCAAGUCCAACCAGCCACAAGCAGACAGGAGGGAGAAGCGGUCACCCUGGAUUGUUCAUAUGAAACAAGUCAGACCUUAUACCAUCUUUUUUGGUACAAGCAGCUUCCCGGUGGAGAGAUGAUUUUCCUUCUUCGUCAAAUUUCUUCUAGUCGAAAUGAAAAGAGUGGUCGCUAUUCUGUCUCCUUCCAGAGAUCAGCCAUGUCCAUCAGCCUCACCAUUUCAGCCUUGCAGCUGGAAGAUUCAGCGAAGUAUUUCUGUGCUCUUGGGGAAUUCACAGUGUUUGAAAAGAUACUACAAGCUGAACAAAAACUGGAGCUCCUUAAGCAUGGCCCUUCUUGGAGUUCAGCAGAGAGGCACAGGAGUGGAUUUUCUCUUGCUCCCUUUUACAUUCUGUAUGUUUUAAUCACCAAGAAAGAUGGCUAA